CUUGAUUUCUAGAGUAAAUUUUCAAAAGGUCCUAUGUGCAAAAACCUCAACCUGAGAAAUUUGAUGUCAAAGUUUUGAUGUACAUUUUUAAUUCCCAUUUAAACACGGUUAGGUAUUUUUCAAUACUAAAAACGCUAAAUUGAACCUAUACUGAUGCUUUUUAAGGGUACUUAACGAGAAUCAUCAAAAGUCUAGUUUAAACUUAUUUCUGAAGCAAUUUGUUUCAUACGACCUGUGAUUGCACAUAGGACACGUUUCAUAGGACAAAUUUUGCACAUAGGAUUCAAUACAUUGGAUCAAAUUCAUGCCGCAUUGCACAUAGGAAUUUUCCAAAUUAAAUUUAAAUCUUGAUUUAAAAAGAACAACUUUUUUAUAAUAACUAUGUUCGCCCAAUCCUCGCGCAACGUGUAGGCAACAGCUGAUUGAGAGCAUGAAAUGUUUCAAUGCUUCCAGCGCGCGAGAGAGAAACCGUUAGGAGAACAAAUCGACCAAUCAGAGAACUCGUCAGCAUCUGUCAGAUAGGUGCUUGCAAAUUAACUUACACGACAAUGUAAACAAUCUUUGCUUGGGUCCGGAUAGGACUCUUCGUAUUUUUCUAGUUUUUUUGAUGUUUUUUUUAUGAUUGUUUGCCAAAGAAGUGCCAAAAACUUGGUGUAGGCUAAUUAUUUAUCGUUCAGAAUCUACUGAACUAGUUUUGAGGACUGUUAUUAUUUAUCGGUCAGUGAAAAUGCCCGACGGGAAUUGACCAGUUUCAGUCGCUAUGAAUCACUAACUGUGAGAACAAAAAAGUCGAUCUCGCUUGCCGGAAAGAGAAGUGCAAGAACGACUAUCCAAACUGGCGACUUCAGGAGUGUAAACAGAAAAUUAGCAAGCAACCACUUGGCUGCCGUUGAUUUAAGGUGUCGUGAAGGCGGUUUGCUGUGGCAUUCCGGACAAGUUGAACCGCACCACGGAGGACGUGGUGACGUUCGAUGCGCACUGUUUUCCGCACCUGGUAGAGAAGUUGCAGCUGGACCUGCAUGAAAUGCCGUUUUCACAGUGCGUCCAGUGGGUGGAGGGCGCCAGUUGAGGAGGGAAGGCAUUGGGUACUCGCGGUUAUUGCUGUACGACUAUGAUAUCCACUUCCUGCCGCGCAACAUCAUCCACCAGUUCCGAACGGUGACGGCCGUUACGAGUACAGCGUGGCAUCUGCGGCUCAAGCAGUACUAUCCGGACCGAGAUACAGACAAGUAGAUUUUGCAGAAGAUUGCCAACGAGUACGAGGUGAAAUAAACAGUUCAAUGAUAGUAGGAAGAGCAGUAGCAGUUCGAGCCAUAAGCACUCGUCGUCGUCUUCGUCACAAG